rnacentral:lncRNA from 1 species
GUUUCAAACAAAUUGAUUAGCAAAAGCAGUCCAGGUGCUAGACUUCUAGUCCAUAGGGUUUUAAUCCAAUCCACCAUCCCUAUUAAAAGGUAAAGGGGUAUGACAUAUUUUGAAUAAAUAUUUAUGUGUAUUAUUUAAUUCUCACAGCAUCUUUUGUGGUAAAUAUGACAUCCACUUCAUAAAGUGAAGCAGAAGAUAAAGCCCAUCGGUUUUGGCCUAAAACCAGAGCCAGAGCCUCCAUUCUGCAGCGCUGCCUCCCUUUCAAAAGAAAAGUGAGGUGUGUACGAGUCCAGGCUCACCUACUGAUCCCCCCAAAAAUGUCAGACCUGCCGCCCGCAGAAGUCGUCCACAUUUCUAUUUCGAUGGCUCCCUCGCUGGCCGGCUCUGUUUAAGACUGAAGAAUGAAUUAAACUUCGCUCUAGUCGUUGACGGUCUCUACUUCUAAGUGGAAAAGCCUGAGAACUAACUGAAUUUUACACAAUCAUCUCCCAAACCCUAACCGGACCCUCUCCAACACGUGAGUGUGCCAUCUCCCCAUACAGUAGUAAGAACUGGAACAAUGUUUUAGUGAACUAAAGCAAAGCAUGAAAAGCAAUUGUUGUCUUUCUGCCUCUACCACACUUUUACUCUUCCUCCCUUCCCUCCAACUAAAGAUGGAUCCUAAACCUUCUAUGACGUUUCAAGGAAAACGGAAUUUAGAACCCUGGCAGGCGUUUGACCUCCCAUCUCUCCCAUCCAGCAUGAUGGCAGCUCCGAGGCUUAGAAGUGCUACAAGGCGGUCUGCAGGCCCAGGAUGGAGCUUGGCAGGGCCCUGUGGAGUAGCAGGGCUGGAGCUGCAGGCCAAGCUACUUCUGCAAGUCAGCCUUCUGAUGUGUGAUCGAGGCCCAAGCAGGAAUGUGAGGGAGAGGUGUGCUGCUCUUCUGAGCUCUACCUGGCUUUCACCAAGAUCAGGGACUUGACUUCCUUAUUUUCUCACCUCCCUUUGAUACCCAACAGCAAAGCACAUCCGGGUUGUUGACUCAACAAAUUCCUUGAGCUUGAAAGGAUGUGAGAUGUUGACCAAAAGGAAGAUCCUAAGCCAUCCUGUCCAUACUGCAAACCAAGUGGUUUCAUCAAGAUCCUCAUUUUUGGAACACAUUCGAAACCUUAGGGAGGGCAAAGCGGGGAAAGCAGUUGCAAAACUAAAGGGUCCCAAUUUUGGCAGGAAGGGAGGAGAGGUGCGAAUAUACACUGGAAAAAUGUAUCAAUUCUUUGAGUAUUUCUUCUGACAGGGUCUCACUAUGUAGUUCAGGCUGGCCUCGCUCUUGCAGCAGUCCUGCCUCCGCUGCCUGAGUGGCACUACACACAGCUCUAAGUAGUUCUUUUAAGUAUCAUUUUAAGAGCCUCCUACACAACACACG